GACUCUGAUCCCUCCGUCAGGGGGAAAGACGAAUUCUCCCUUUCCAGCGCCUCCUGACGUCCUCCCUGCUGGCAGUCCUGGCCCUGGCUGUGGCCUCACCUCGAAGGGGACAGGAUGUGUUUCCAGCUGGGCCCCUUCUCCUCCACGUCUUGGCCGGACAGUCCUCUUCCCCACCGCAACCCUGUGGAGAGGAAUACUGCCUUUUAUCAUUUUGCCAGGUGAACAUUCCUUUUGAAAUAUAAUAAUUACCUCCCAAUGUAUCUCCUUGGAAAAUGCAUAUGCAUAUAUGCACAUAUACAUACUUUUGUCUUCAUAUAAACAGUGUAUAAAGAAUUUUAAACUGAGCGAAGACCCAACAUACUAAUAGUACCAGGGCCCCUAAGACACACACCUUGUGCCUGGCAGGGUGAAUAGUCCUCCAGUUUGCUGGGGAUGGUCUUGAUUUUAAAAUGGAAAAUUCUGCGUCCCCAGAGGCCCCUGUUGUUGCUACUCAGUUGCUCAGUCGUGUCCGGCUCUUUGCGACCCCAUGGACUGUAGCCCGCCAGGCUCCUCUGUCCAUGGGAUUCUCCAGGCAAGAAUACUGGAGUGGGUUGCCAUUUCCUUCUCCAGGGGAUCUUCCUGACCCAGGGAUGGAACUCGUGGAUUCUUUUCUGCUAAGCCACUUGGGAAGCCCCCUCACAGAUCCCCCAAGACUGGGGCAAAUUGGGAAGGCUGGUUGUGACAGAGCCAGGCAUUCAGAGUCCGUUAUCGCAAAUCCUCAUGAAGACACCUUCAGUUAGAUGUUGUUUUUGCAGAGAAGGAAAGUGAGCUGGAGAUGCUGAUGGAGUUGCCAAGUUCACGCCCCAAGUCUCUGGCUGAGGUCAAUGCUGUGCCAUGUGUUUUAUGCAGGAGCGCCGUGGAUGGUGCGGAUACAAACGCCCUGUGGCUCUGCCAGACGAGGCUCCCCUUCUGUCAGGACCACGAUCCUCCGCGGGGACCUGGAGGUGGCCCAGGCAUGUAUCUCCGUCUCCCUCGUUACCGCGGGCCCCGUCCAGGACACUCCCGCCCCCGUCGUCGCUCCAAUGCCUCCGCUGCUCACCUGUGCUUCCGGUUUCAGGUUCAAGAACAGCGGGCGGCGGGUUUUCCAUGGUACUCCUAAUCGCCGGCGUUGAGCUGAUAGGGACCCAGGAUGGAACACAGCAGCCCAGGAAAUUCUCCCGAGCCCGAUUCCUGCCAGCUUCCCUAUUCUCUGGAAUGACUGCUCAUCCUGUGCUGGGGACUGUCUCCUUUGUCUUCUCCAGGCCGUGUUCCUUGCUCAAGAUGGACUGCUGGCUGGAAAAUGAGCAGAAGAUCUGAUGGCAGGGCUUGGGAAUAGGAACCCAAGUUCUGCCCAAAGCCUAAGGCAUCUAUCUGCACACACCCAGCUUCUCUGGGAAGCCAGCUACGUAUCAGCACAACGCUGAGGUGCCUGGGGCCACUGUGGACUCUCAGAUGCUGUCCUACAACUGGUCUCUCCAUCCUAAUCCCAGGGAAGACAGUUUAGGAGGUGACGCAAUACUGCUGUAGCAGCCCCUAGACAACUUGCCUUCUUCCAAAACCCUCCUGGGCCAAGCUUUCCCGUUCGCACGCUGAAAUAUUAGAUGUUCAGCUGGGAGUCCAACAGCAAAAUAUUUCUGAAAUUGUGCGUGCGUGUGUGUGUUUCUUUCUUUCUUUUUUUUUCUUCUAAUUUAAUGUGCCAGACAAGCCUCCCGGUAAUUAAAACCAGAAACAAGGACCAGACUUAGACAGAGAUUUGAAGGCUGUAAAAUUCUAGGACAGGUUUAUGUAAAGCAAUUAAAAAGGGAGUUAAAAAUUGUUAAAAAAUUAAACACUAAUUACUUUUUUUUCUCCUCUCAUUUCUGCUGAGCUGUUUUGGCCGCGGAGCUCGAAGAAAGAUAUAAAAAGGAGAAAGUUUUGCCUCGUUGCUGUAAAUCAUGUUCAGCAAAUGCGCCUCUGCAGUUUGCAGCCGAACCCAUCUGCUGUCAAUUAACCUAAAUCAUGCCUUUUCAAUUAAACUGGCCUAGGG
rnacentral:lncRNA from 1 species